AAAAAAAAAACAAACAAAACGGAGAUAAUAGCUGGAGAGACUCAACUCUGCGUACAUAUUUACUUCGAUUCACCCUCCGCGAUCGUGUUGCCGCCGCUGCUGCUGCCAGAGACCACCCGAACUGAAAGAGAAACGAAAGUACCUACCUAUAUGGGAAGAUUUGGAACACCCUGCGUACCCUACGAAAAUGAGAACUGGUAUUAGGUAUACAUAUACGUGGAAGGAGCGAUAUUUGUUUCGCGAGGGGAUGGAAGUAUAAACGCAACCCCUACGAACCCUGGCCCAGGGAUUUCGUCGACAGUCGUUUAACAAAAUAUUAUACUGCACGUCAGCACCUGAUCUUUUUUGGAUAUCGUCGUCACAUAUUAUACGUAUACGAGAUUAAGAUCUGCAGUAUCGUCGAAUAUCUACGUAUACAUAAUACAUAGCUGACAAUUGGCGUAUACGAUAACGAGGAGUGCAAAAUCUUGCUGUGCCCACUUAACGCACGUUACCUUGUGAUAUACGAGAGUCGGUUUCACAUGGUCGUUCGCAAAUUUAACACGAAUUUGCUCCAUUUAACCGGCUCGACUGCACACGCUGCAACUCUUACUUGUACACCCGCACGCGAGGCGAUUCACUUUUGAUGCAGAUAAUUCAAGCGACAUGAAAUUUAUAGCGAAGUAUAACCAUCGGGAAAGGGGAAAAGUGUACGACUGAAGGAUAUACACACACACGUGCCUACACACACGCGCGGGAUUCCCCUUGAUUAAAACAUCGUGCAGUGACGUUAUGAGAGUGCAGCGGAUUACUUCAUUACGAUGUACAGGAUGUAUUCGAAAUGCCAUGGCAUCAUGCAGAAGGAUGGAAUUGCAUGUGAACAAGGAGAGGAGGAAACUAGCUGAAAUAGAAAACGUCAUUUCUUUAUCGGCAUUCUCCAGAAAUUGGGGUGUCUAGAGGUUUAUAUGAAAGGACAGCUUUUUGGAACGCCUUCGUCGUUUCCAUUGGUUUAGGGUAACAGCCAAUCGCGCGGAUUGUCGGGUCUCUAUACAUACGGUAGGACGACUAUACAGCUUAGGUAUGUAAAAAUUGUACACCCCUAUGUAAACUUCACAUCCCCUCUUUCAUGCUCUGUCGGGGUACGAUGUGAUAUACAUGCUUUUUCCCCACCCCACUGCGUCGCGCUGUGCAGACAGCAGUCGCUGCAAAUCCUCCCUUUUGAUGGUAUAGUUAUGUAUCUUUUUUGUGAAAGGCAUAUCAUGACACUGAAGAGUAGAGAAGUACUGUAACGUAAUCGCUCUGCAUGAACGUUUACAUGUAUACAUGCAUGUACGUAUACAUAUUACGUAUGUAUAUCUCACCUGUAUCGAAAAUAACCAGAGAGAGCCCAGUCAUGGAUUUGAUUGAAACAAUGUAGAAAUCAAAUUUUUAUGUUUUUCAAAGUUGGACGCUAUUUUAAUUUUUAAUUCCCGUUUUACAAUUAACUAGAGCAAUAUAUUCAAUAGAGGCUGGCGUUUAUUCUUGUUCGUUGUUGCCUUUUGUCGGUAGCACGGAGCACAGAUCGAACAAAUUAUCUACCCGGUAAAUUUCGUGGUUGCUGGACAUUUAUAUCGAACGAUAGGUGUCACUGUACGCUCUUGCCUAAAGUUUUUUUCGGCAGUAAGUAAAGCAUUCGAAUAUCGAGAGUCGGUCAGUUUCUCGGUAAUUUGAAUGUACUUUAGAGCCUAAUUUGAAUACUGAUGGUAAUGUUUAUUUUAUUUAUUCAAUACAGCGGCGAUGGUACUUCAGUCUGUCUGUAUCAUGGGUAUGAAUUACAUUCAUUCAAAGGAGUAAUUGAUUACAGUGAUAAUUCAAAUAAUAUUAAAAUAAUUUUCUAUGAACUA